UACGUAGGGUGCAAGCGUUGUCCGGAAUUAUUGGGCGUAAAGAGCUCGUAGGCGGUUUGUCGCGUCUGCUGUGAAAACCCGAGGCUCAACCUCGGGUCUGCAGUGGGUACGGGCAGACUAGAGUGCGGUAGGGGAGAUUGGAAUUCCUGGUGUAGCGGUGGAAUGCGCAGAUAUCAGGAGGAACACCAAUGGCGAAGGCAGAUCUCUGGGCCGUAACUGACGCUGAUGCACGAAAGCUAGGGGAGCAAACAGG
rnacentral:rRNA from 1 species